GCAGCUGCCUCUCAUAGUCUCCACUUGAUGCCUCAACUGCACCUUCCUCUCAACAUUAAAUUAAUAUAAUUUCAAAAUGUUGUCACUCAUAUUAGCACAUUGCUGUCUCAUGACUCUGUGAUACAGUUAAGCAAAUAUUAUUUCCCCUAUUUCACAAAUGAGAAGAUAGGCCCAGAGAGGCCUGUUAACUUCCCUGAAUUCAAAUAGGUAAUUAGUGAAUUGAUCUAGCAUCAGAACAAUUAAUAUUGAGAAGCGUGUGCUCUCUUUCCUCAUUAUGACUUUGACUUAUCUCAGUGACGUUUUAUUUCUGGACUUGAAGUACCACAUUUUA